rnacentral:rRNA from 1 species
UGGGGAAUAUUGCACAAUGGGCGCAAGCCUGAUGCAGCCAUGCCGCGUGUAUGAAGAAGGCCUUCGGGUUGUAAAGUACUUUCAGCGAGGAGGAAGGCGGUAAGGUUAAUAACCUUAUCGAUUGACGUUACUCGCAGAAGAAGCACCGGCUAACUCCGUGCCAGCAGCCGCGGUAAUACGGAGGGUGCAAGCGUUAAUCGGAAUUACUGGGCGUAAAGCGCACGCAGGAGGGCUGUCAAGUCGGAUGUGAAAUCCCCGGGCUCAACCUGGGAACUGCAUUCGAAACUGGCAGGCUAGAGUCUUGUAGAGGGGGGUAGAAUUCCAGGUGUAGCGGUGAAAUGCGUAGAGAUCUGGAGGAAUACCGGUGGCGAAGGCGGCCCCCUGGACAAAGACUGACGCUCAGGUGCGAAAGCGUGGGGAGCAAACA